UAGGGAAUUUUGCGCAAUGGCCUAACGGCUGACGCAGCAACGCCGCGUGACUGAUGAAGUUCCAAGGAACGUAAAGGUCAGUUAGGAGGGAAGAACGGCUUUAUAGUGAACAAUUAUAAGGCAUGACGGUACCUCCAGAGAAAGCACCGGCUAACUCCGUGCCAGCAGCCGCGGUAAUACGGGGGGUGCAAGCGUUGUCCGGAAUCACUGGGCGUAAAGGGGGGGUAGGCGGACCGGUAAGUCCGGAGUGCAAUCUGUCUGCUUAACGGACAAUCCGCGUUUGAUACUGGCGGUCUUGAGUC
rnacentral:rRNA from 1 species